UUGCGUACAAUCAGCAAUUUCAUUUAUGAAAUGGUCAAAAACCCAGGGGAAAAUUGCCAGGGAUGGCAAUUUUAGGAAACGCAAGGCAUGGAUGCCUUUCGUUUCCGCCCCGGCCGGUUUUACGGCAUUUGUCCAUUUCAUUAAUGAAAUCUGAUUGGAAGCCC
rfam:Lachnospiraceae bacterium 28-4 genomic scaffold acPFn-supercont1.1, whole genome shotgun sequence.